rnacentral:lncRNA from 1 species
CACUGGAUCUGAUUUCAAGCUUCUGGGAUUAUGGCUUGUGAACACCGCCUGAGUUUCUCAGCAGCGUUUGACCACGGGUGGCAAUGAUGCGUCUUCUUGGCUUGCAGAAUCCUUUGUCCAGCUCUGUAGUGUGCUAAGAGUGUGGAACCUUCCCUCCAAUGCAGAAGUGGGGAGCUAUUUUUUGACAGUUGUGCCAGUCUGCUCAAUUGAUGUCAGUGGAGCAUGGGUUGUCCUGAUGUCCUUCGUAUUCUGAUGUUAAUUCUGCUCCCUCAAAAGAGCUUGCCCCCAGUUCCCCGAAAGGAGCAGUCUAUCACAUCCAUCACUGUUCAUCCAUCAUCAUGGCUCGGCUCUCACAUACUCAGCAAUAAGCCAUCGAAAUCUUUUUUCCCAACUUCUCUUUCUCCCCAAGAGGGCCACUUAGAGGAGCGUGAAGACAAGCGAAGACAUGUAUGUAUGUGCACCAUGUGUACUCUGGUGUUGGCUAAGGUGUUAGAAGAAGACAUCCCAUCCACCCGGAUCUGGAGUUCCUGACAGUGGUUAGACAUCAGUUCCGUUGAAGACAGUGCUACCCAAGUGAGCAUUCCAAAUCAUGUUUAAAGAGAGGUAAGAGAUGUGCUGCAGAGUCCAAAGAACAAGAUAGCUGUGGCUCAGAUGGCUUUACAUCUUUCAAGAACCAAGACCCCUGUCUGCUACAGCUCUGCUGUGCAAGCCCUGAGCACAACUGCAGCUUUCUCUGACACACCAUCCCACAGGGACUUUCUCACCUAUACAGUGUUCUCAUGUCAAAUAAGAUCAUUGUACAAGGUCUUUGUUACAUUGAAUCCUGAAUUUAUUCAGUUAUGUUAAGUGCAAUAAAAUACCUGGG